AUUGAACGCUGGCGGCAGGCCUAACACAUGCAAGUCGAACGAGUGGCGGACGGGUGAGUAAUGUCUGGGAAACUGCCUGAUGGAGGGGGAUAACUACUGGAAACGGUAGCUAAUACCGCAUACCAUCAGAUGUGCCCAGAUGGAAUUAGCUAGUUGGUGGGGUAACGGCUCACAAAGGCGACGAUCCCUAGCUGGUCUGAGAGGAUGACAAGCAACACUGGAACGGAGACACGGUCCAGACUCCUACGGAAGGCAGAAGUGGGGAAUAUGGCACAAUGGGCGCAAGCCUGAUGCAGCCAUGCCGCGUGUAUGAAGAAGGCCUUCGGGUUGUAAAGUACUGUCAGCGGGGAGGCGUUACCCGCAGAAGAAGCACCGGCUAACUCCGUGCCAGCAGCCGCGGUAAUUC
rnacentral:rRNA from 1 species